GGGCUCGUGGUCUAACGGUAAGACACUGCCUUCGCAAGGCAGGAACUCCGGGUUCGAAUCCCGGCGAGUCCA
rnacentral:tRNA from 1 species